CCUCACUGUUGCUGCUGCUGCCGGCACCGCGGGAGAUAAGGGGAGAGCUGCAGCAGCAAAGUGACCCCAGCCAGCAGCCUGUGUGAUCUAUCAUAUGUUGAGACUACAUCACCGUCAUCAUACGGAGCGGUUAUCCCUACCGUGACCCAACUACAUCAGAAGGUGCUUCCCCAAACCGCACAUAAGAGGUCCAAGGAAAGGCCAGGCCAGGGAGGAGGAGGAAGCAACGAUGAUCCAAACACACAAGCACUACUGGGUCCAGCCGGCAGAAUGUUAAAUACUCCGGUGGAUGAAUGCGAUGCCAUAGGUCUGAGCUGGGCGGCAAAACUGAGAUGCGUGGAUGAGAAACAUCGCUACAAGGCAGAGAAGCUUAUAAACGAGGUGUUGCAUAGGGCCAGGUCAGGAGAAGUCGAUGACCUGGCCUUUUUCUUCUCCGGGGUUUGUCAUAGGCCGCAGUCCGAGAGCUUCCAUAGGCCGCAGUCUGAGAGCUUCCAUAGGCCGCAGUCCGAGAGCUUCCAUAGGCCGCAGUCCGAGAGCUUCUAUAGGCCGCAGUCCGAGAGCUUCCAUAGGUCGCAGAGCUACUAUUAUCUGCCACCCCAGAUGCCCUAUCAAGCACCAAUGCAAGAUAAGUAUGCCCGGCCAUCUCUGAACACGUCUACUUUCCGCAGAACAUCCACACCCGCCUAUGGACGCGGCGAUAGAAAUGUGCCGCCAAUUCCCGCUCUGCCCAACACCAGUUAAGAGGGCAUCUGAGGGCAACCCGACUCAUUCAGUUUGGAAAAUCUAGAUAACUUGGUUGACAUGUUAUAAUCUAUAAAGUUUUAAUAUUGUUAAGUAAUAUGUGAAUGUUAUACUGUAUGUUUAUUGUUACAUGUUAAAUAAUAUUAACUGUUUUAUACAUUUUAUUGCUCGUUUUUUUGCAUUAAUACAGUUUGAAUAUCAAAUCAUAA